rnacentral:rRNA from 1 species
ACGAGGAGCUUGCUCCUCUGACGUUAGCGGCGGACGGGUGAGUAACACGUGGAUAACCUACCUAUAAGACUGGGAUAACUUCGGGAAACCGGAGCUAAUACCGGAUAAUAUAUUGAACCGCAUGGUUCAAUAGUGAAAGACGGUUUUGCUGUCACUUAUAGAUGGAUCCGCGCCGCAUUAGCUAGUUGGUAAGGUAACGGCUUACCAAGGCAACGAUGCGUAGCCGACCUGAGAGGGUGAUCGGCCACACUGGAACUGAGACACGGUCCAGACUCCUACGGGAGGCAGCAGUAGGGAAUCUUCCGCAAUGGGCGAAAGCCUGACGGAGCAACGCCGCGUGAGUGAUGAAGGUCUUCGGAUCGUAAAACUCUGUUAUUAGGGAAGAACAAAUGUGUAAGUAACUAUGCACGUCUUGACGGUACCUAAUCAGAAAGCCACGGCUAACUACGUGCCAGCAGCCGCGGUAAUACGUAGGUGGCAAGCGUUAUCCGGAAUUAUUGGGCGUAAAGCGCGCGUAGGCGGUUUUUUAAGUCUGAUGUGAAAGCCCACGGCUCAACCGUGGAGGGUCAUUGGAAACUGGAAAACUUGAGUGCAGAAGAGGAAAGUGGAAUUCCUGUUGAAAGCGG